CUUUUGGGAAAAGAAACCUAUAGUUUUUUAGCAAGGGUUCUGAUCUCUUUCAGGGUUAAAGAGUUGAUAAGGAGAAUAUCCUCACUUUUUAGGUUCCUUUCUUAAAGGUUCCUUUCUUGAAGACCUAGUAUUUUUAUCUUUUUUUUCUAUAGCUUCGAAUACUUUUUUUGGCACUAUUAGUCGCCAACAAGAUCUCCCAAGAUAUCUACUUUUUCUUGGGAAC
rnacentral:lncRNA from 1 species